GACGAACGCUGGCGGCGCGCCUAACACAUGCAAGUCGAACGAGCGAGAGAGAGCUUGCUUUCUCGAGCGAGUGGCGAACGGGUGAGUAACGCGUGAGGAACCUGCCUCAAAGAGGGGGACAACAGCUGGAAACGACUGCUAAUACCGCAUAAGCCCACGGUGCCGCAUGGCACAGAGGGAAAAGGAGCAAUCCGCUUUGUGAUGGGCCCGCGUCCGCUUAGCUAGUUGGUGCGGUAAUGGCCCACCAAGGCGACGAUCGGUAGCCGGACUGGGAGCUUGAACGGCCACCUUGGGACUGAGACACGGCCCAGACUCCUACAGGGCGCAGCAGUGGGGAAUAUUGCACAAUGGGGGAAACCCUAAUGCAGCGACGCCGCGUGGAGGAAGAAGGUCUUCGGAUUGUAGACGCCGGUUGUUGGGGAAGAUAAUGACGGUACCCAACAAGGAAGGGACGGCUAACUACGUG
rnacentral:rRNA from 1 species